CCUGUGCUACUUUCCAGUCUUUAGGAACAGACAUUUUGUCAAGUGAGCGGUUGUAUAUGAUUGCUAAGAAAGGCGCUAUUGUCUCUGCAUACUCUGAAAGGAACCUGAUUGGUAUACCAUCUGGACCGGAAGACUUGCCUUUCUUAAGUGAUUUGAGUUGUUUCACAACACCUAAGUUUCACAGUAAUGUGGAAUCCUAUUAAUGUUCUCAACUUGGCAAUGAUGAAAUAUGAAGAACGUGGUUUCCAGCCGAAAUCAUCUACUUCUCCUGAGGACGUGCAUAUGUGUCAUUUGUUAGCUGAUUUCCUUGGCAUUCAUUCGAAUGAUAUUGACAUUUUGUUUGAAAUUGUGGAUACAUUAGAAGAAAUAGGAAGUAACUGUGAUGACUCCAUGAACUGUGGUUCAGACAGUGUCAGUUGUGCCAGUAACAGUUCUGAAGAAGAAUACCUUCCAAGACAAAAACCGCACACACACAUAUUGCAACAGCUUUCAGCAACAAAGAAAAGGCCGGAAAUAUUGGUUAGACAAAGGAGGAAAAAAAGCUAUUGAAGUUACGCAGUGUGCAAAGGCAUUUUAGUUUCCUAAAAUUGGAGUGUGAACUGUACAAAUGGAAGAAUGAAUUACACGAAGAAAGUAAUAUGCGCCAAACGGAAACCUGAAACCAUCUGAAUGAAAGAUUUAGAACUGCUCAUGAUAGGCUAUGCACUGUUACUGAUGGAGAUCUGCGAGACUGGGCUCUCUGAAUUGCAUCUGCCAUGAACAUUGCUAAUUUCCAGGCUUCAUCGACCUGGUUAGACAAGUUCAAGAAAUCAUACAGAAUAGGUAUUUGCAAAAUUACCAAGUUUAUGUUAUGUAAAUGUGUUGAGCAUCUGCCAGUGAUAGACAGUGCAUUAGAGAAAUUCAUAGCCGACAUAAAGAUGAAACUUGCUGUUGUCCCCACAACUGCUGUUUAUAACACUAAUCAGUCAGGUUUUGUGAAAGAACUGAGUGCACACCGCACUUAAUCAUUUCAGGGUGAAAAAAAAAAAAGACUGAGUCAGUUGCCCAAUCUAGUGAAUGCAA